rfam:Cricetulus griseus cell line CHO-K1, whole genome shotgun sequence.
AAAUAGAUACCCACCAUGCCUUUUGCUCUGCACUCAGUAAAUAUUUGUUUGUGAAUGUGUAGCAAAAGACAGGAUGGGGAUCCAUUA